CUUAUUUCCCGCCACAAUCUUGAGGGUGAUUUUUAUACUGUUUUGUGCUGAUGUCUCCCAGAGUCUUGCCUCUGGGUCAGCUGGGAGAGAAGUAGCAAAACUCUCUGUGAGCUCCAAGAGUUUCACAAGACAAAUGAAACCUUUCAAAGCAACCUCAUCCAUCGCAGCCGAAGCCUCCUGUGUCCCACCGCUAGCAGAGUUCAAUCAAUAACCUGGUGAGCAGUGGGCCAGCCGACAUUUCCUGCUCGCAGCUCUCUCUGCCAUCCAUCAUCUGAACACAUCUGAAGUGAGCCAAUCUGCCCAAGAGCAAGCAGCAGAGCGCCAAGCCUAACGGUGGCUUCUCUGGCAUUACUCAGAACGCUUUGUCUGGUUUCCCUUAAAGAGGAGCGAGGAUCAGGGUCUGGUAAUAGUCAGGCCUUCUGUCUCUGCAGAUGGCUUCCCAGGCCCAGAGGGGAACAUCUGCUCUCUCUAAGGGAGGGCAGGACAAUAGAAGCAAGGAGCACCAAGAAAAACAUCUUCUUGGGGCCGCUGAUGAGCUUUGCUUAGAUGUAAUGUUCUCGCUUUGGCAAGCUGCAUAUUUUCAUAAGGGUUUUUGAGUUUUCCUGGUCCUCCUCGGCCUUCUUCCCUGGAGUUGUUGGACUUCCACGGAAAUAAAAAUCAUUUCUCAGUGCUGAUCUUUUGUUAAGUUCUUUGCAUGUAAGGACUCUAUGAGCUGGAUAUUAUCACUCCAGGAUGGAGGUGAGUGGGCUCAGUAACUAGUGGGUAACCCAAGGUCACCCAGCCAGUAAUACCUGGGCAGGAUUUGAACAGAGGCCUAUUAGCUUAUGUUCCACUGCCUUCUAGGUGGGGGCUGGUGUCCUAGCCUAAGGAAUUGCAAAAGUUUAUUUGGGGGUGUUUACAGAUUUUUGUGGAUUUCUUUAAUUUUAGUUUUUUUAGAGUAAAGUCCAAAUAAUGUAUGUAUGUAGACUGGGUCUCGCUAUGUUGUCCAGGAUGCUGUUAAAAUCUUGGGUUCAAGAGACCCUGCCACCUCAACUUCUCCAGGACUACAGGUCUGCACCAUCAUGUCCAGCUGGAAUUAUUUUUAUUUAUUUUUUUCGACUUUUUUAUUGGUGCAUUAGAGUUGCACAUAUUGAUGGGAUUUGUUGUUCCGUUUUCAUACAUGCUUACAAUGAAAUUUGGCCAGUAUGGAAUGAUUUUCAAAUGGUGUCCUUUCUGUGUCUCCAAAAGAGUCCUAAACAUGGUACAUUUUUCUGUGAGUGGACUCCCUUGCUUCACUUUGGUGGUAGCUGAUACAUACCUGUUCUUUGGUUCUGCGCCUAAAUGUUUCACCAGUUCAUUGGGCAGCCUUGUCAAGGUGGGGAAAGGGCUUCCAACUGACUGUAUUAGCUUCUGGUUACCGCUGGAAUAAAUGAUCAAAAACGUAUUGGCUUAAAGCAACACAGAUUUAUUAUCUGGUAGUUUUGGAAGUCUUAAAACCAAGGUGUGAAAUAUACAAUAAAAAUUUUAAAUGGUAACAAAAAAAAUCAAG
rnacentral:lncRNA from 1 species